UCCAGUACUCAAGAACAGUUCAUCAUUGUGAAACUGGUGUCGCUGCGCGGGGCCCUGCGGAGGAGCCAGGAGAGGACGCAAGAGCUGGGAGCUGGUGCUCAGGGGACCUGGAGAGAAGGGGAGAGAGGCAGCAGGGCUGGCUGGGCGCCGCUGGCAUGGACACAGGACCAGCUGGACCUGGAGAAGGUGGUGGGCACCCCAAGUUGGGUAAAGCAGGGUGGGGGCUGGGGGGGCUCUGGGUGAGCUGGGGGACAGCAGGGUGAGGGGCUGGGCUGGCCAGGGCUGGCCAGGGCUGCGGCUACACCGGGAGGAAAGCGCGGAGCUGCUUCUGUGUGGAGGAGGUGGGAAGUGGAGAAGGGGGGGGUCCUGUCUCAGCAGGGGCUCUCAGAGAGGCUGUGAUGGGGGCACGGGGCAGGCACGAAGGGCAACGUUGGCUCUGCGAGACGAGAAACUGGAGCUGCAGGAGGUUGAGGCUCCGCGAGCUGCAGCAUCGAACCCGCUCCCUCCUGCGGCAGCGGCUGGAGACCCUGGAGCGGCUCCAUGUGCUGCUGCGGGAGGAGAAGGCGGCCGCGCCUCGGCAGCUCCAGGAGGCUAUGGAGAAGGAGCGGGACUGGAGGCAGCAGCGGGCCCGGAGGCAGAAGCGGGAGCAUCUUCACCGGGAGAAGGUGGCAGCGGUGGGAGGCCUGGAGGAGCCGCUGGCCCAAAGAUGGAGCCAACGUCUGCGCCUCCGCUCCGCCGCCUCCCAGUCCCCAAGCACUGUGCCCAGCCUCCAGCAGCACGGCCCAGGGUCCCUGGGUCUCCUGCACCAUGUCCAGCGCUGCCUGCAGGAGCUGCAGGUGGAUAAGACACACCGCACAGGCAACCUGGAGAACCCCAAAGUCCUGGGAAGAGAGCUGGGCACCGCAGCAAGCGAGGAGGAAUGUGGACAGCCUGGGACAGGGGACUCGCCCUCCACCGCAGCCUCACCCAAGCAAGAGCAGAGGUUCCUGGUACCAGACACCUCACGCCCCAGCAGGAGCAGCAGGAGGAAACACGACUGCAGGAGGAGUCGUCUGCUGUGACAGGGACUUGGACUGGGGCACAGAGGUGCUGAGACAUCCCUGGCUGCUCCAUCUCCCUGUACAUACCCAGAAGAACCAGCCAUAA
rnacentral:lncRNA from 1 species